GAUACCUUACACAUUCAUGUUUCUUACAAAAUUUUGCAUUGAGUAAAAUAUGAAAUUGCAUUUUCCAAAUAUGGAUAUUUAAUCCUUAAUUAAGGAAUAGUCCCCAAUUUAUAGGGCACUCUUCAUUUAUAUUCACACGAAAAUUUUUACUAAAUAGGGGUAGACAAACAAAUUUGAUUUUUUAAAUAUUUUAAAACUAAAUAAAAAAUUUAAUCCUAAUAAAUUUAAACUGUUAGAAUCGAUUAUUUCAUUAAAAUGGAAUUCAAAUUCUAAA
rnacentral:misc_RNA from 1 species